ensembl:lncRNA novel transcript, antisense to RFX4
GGAACUCACUCUGUGGGUGGGGGAGGAGCAUGGUUCCGGUGGCUUCAGGCACAGACUUCUGCCAGGCCUGCAGACAGAGCUCAGGAUAAAGAGCCAAGGGUGUGGCCUGUCUCGAGGCCCAUAGAUGUGCGCUCUGCAGGUGGAAUGGCCGUCCGGUGCUUACUUUGACUGUCCUCGGGUCCCGAGUCUUCUGGUGGUUAACUGAGGAAACUGCUGCCUUAUGAUCUAGCAGAGGAUGAUAAUUGCUGUUGCCCAGGACAACCACACCAGUUCACAAGAAAUCCGUGAAGAGAGAGCAUCUCUCAAGGUGAAAACAUAACCAUGAGGCCCCUUUCCUUGGGGUUUACGGAGAUGAUGUUUGUGGAGAGGCAUGACAGGUCAGGGGUUACGUGCAAGAACUCUGGAACUCGACUACCUGAAUUGAAUGCAAGCUCAGGCAUUGGUUAGGCUGGAUGCCCUUGGGCAAGUUAUUUAGUAUCCACAUGACUCAGUUUCCCCAUUUGUAAAAUAGGAAUGAUAAUAACCUCUAGAGUUAUUGUGAAAUUUUAAAAAGUGAAUGUAUGUAAAUAGCUGGCAGUAGUGCCUGGCAGUUAGUAAGUACUUAAUAAAUGUUACCCAUUAUUACCA